rnacentral:rRNA from 1 species
CAGUCGUACCUUCGGGUAAUCAGCCUUUCGAGUGCGAUUCUGUGGAGUGUGAGGAGCUAAACACCUUCAUGCCUGCAUAUUCGUGCUCUUGGGUGUGCUUGCUCGUGUGGUUGGUUAACAUCAAUUUCGGACGCCAUAAAAUGGCUGGAGGAAUGUAGCUUCGAUCUCGUAUUGAAGUGUUAUAGACUCUGGUAGAUGUGACGAUUGGGGGCUGGAGGAUUGCGAACGGAUACCCGUUCGGGGCUACGUCGUCU